AUUCUCACUUCAGCAGCACAUAUACUAAAAUUGGAAUGAUACAGAGAAGAUUAGCAUGGUCCCUGCACAAGGAUAACAUGCAAAUUUGUGAAGUGUUCCAUAUUUCA
rnacentral:snRNA from 1 species